rnacentral:rRNA from 1 species
AUUGAACGCUGGCGGCAGGCCUAACACAUGCAAGUCGAACGAGUGGCGGACGGGUGAGUAAUGUCUGGGAAACUGCCUGAUGGAGGGGGAUAACUACUGGAAACGGUAGCUAAUACCGCAUACCAUCAGAUGUGCCCAGAUGGGAUGAGCUAGUAGGUGGGGUAACGGCUCACCUAGGCGACGAUCCCUAGCUGGUCUGAGAGGAUGAUCAGCCACACUGGAACUGAGACACGGCCCAGACUCCUCCGGGGGGCAGCAGUGGGGAAUAUUGCACAAUGGGCGCAAGCCUGAUGCAGCCAUGCCGCGUGUAUGAAGAAGGCCUUCGGGUUGUAAAGUACUUUCAGAGGGGAGGCGUUACCCGCAGAAGAAGCACCGGCUAACUCCGUGCCAGCAGCCGCGGUAAUAC